rnacentral:rRNA from 1 species
CCUACGGGAGGCAGCAGUGAGGAAUAUUGGUCAAUGGGCGCGAGCCUGAACCAGCCAAGUCGCGUGAAGGAUGACUGCCCUACGGGUUGUAAACUUCUUUUAUACAGGAAUAAAGUGAGGCACGUGUGCCUUUUCGUCUGUACUUUAUGAAUAAGGAUCGGCUAACUCCGUGCCAGCAGCCGCGGUAAUACGGAGGAGACGAGCGUUAUCCGGAUUUAUUGGGUUUAAAGGGAGCGUAGAUGGGUUGUUAAGUCAGUGGUGAAAGUGUGCGGCUCAACCGUAAAAGUGCAAUUGAUACUGGCAGCCUUGAGUACAGUUGAGGUAGGCGGAAUGCGUGGUGUAGCGGUGAAAUGCUUAGAUAUCACGAAGAACUCCGAUUGCGAAGGCAGCUUACUAAACUGCCACUGACAUUGAUGCUCGAAAGUGUGGGUAUCAAACAGGAUUAGAUACCCGAGUAGUC